UAACAAGGAUUCCCCUAGUAACUGCGAGUGAAGCGGGAAAAGCUCAAAUUUAAAAUCUGGUGGUCUUUGGCCAUCCGAGUUGUAAUCUAGAGAAGUGCUACCCACACUGGACCAUGUAUAAGUCUUCUGGAAUGAAGCGUCAUAGAGGGUGAGAAUCCCGUCUUUGACAUGGACUCCCAGUGUGUUGUGGUGUGCUCUCAAAGAGUCGAGUUGUUUGGGAAUGCAGCUCUAAAUGGGUGGUAACCUCCAUCUAAAGCUAAAUAUUGGCGAGAGACCGAUAGUGAACAAGUACCGUGAGGGAAAGAUGAAAAGAACUUUGGAAAGAGAGUUAAACAGUACGUGAAAUUGUUGAAAGGGAAACGCUUGAAGUCAGUCGCAUUGGCCAGGGAUCAACCUAGCUCUUUUGCUUGGUGUAUUUCCUGGUUGAUGGGCCAAUAUCAGUUUUGAUUGCCAGAGAAGGACAGAGGGAAUGUGGCACCUCUGGGUGUGUUAUAGCUUUUUGUCAUAUAUGGCAGUUUGGGACUGAGGAAUGCAGUGCGCCACAAGGCCGGGUUUCGACCACGUUCGCACUUUGGAUGUUGGCAUAAUGACUUUAAUCGAC
rnacentral:rRNA from 1 species